GAUGAACGCUGACAGAAUGCUUAACACAUUCAAGUCAACUGUGGCGGACGGGUGAGUAACGCGUAAAGAACUUGCCUCACAGCUAGGGACAACAUUUGGAAACGAAUGCUAAUACCUGAUACUGUGAGAGAGCUUUUCGUCCCAUUAGCUAGUUGGAGAGGUAACGGCUCACCAAGGCGAUGAUCGGUAGCCGGCAUGAGAGGGUGAUCGGCCACAAUGGGACUGAGACACGGGCCUUACUCCUACGGGAGGGAGCAGUGGGGAAUAUUGGACAAAGGAAAAAAGUCUGAUCCAGCAAGUCUGUGAGGACGAUGAAGUUUUCGGAAUGUAAAGUGGUUUCAGUUGGGAAGCGGUACCAACGGAAGAAGUGACGGCUAAAUACGUGCCAGCAGCCGGGGUAAUUC
rnacentral:rRNA from 1 species